rnacentral:rRNA from 1 species
UACAGAGGGUGCGAGCGUUAAUCGGAAUUACUGGGCGUAAAGGGUGCGUAGGUGGUUACUUAAGUUAGGUGUGAAAGUCCUGGGCUUAACCUGGGGAUUGCGCCUGAUACUGAAUAGCUAGAGUAUUGUAGAGGAAAGCGGAAUUUCCGGUGUAGCGGUGAAAUGCGUAGAUAUCGGAAGGAACAUCGGCGGCGAAGGCGGCUUUCUGGACAAAUACUGACACUGAGGCACGAAAGCAUGGGGAGCAAACAGG